rnacentral:lncRNA from 1 species
GGAGAAUGCCCAGAGGGAGGAAGAACUCGCGCAAGGAUCGAAAGCAGGCUGCGACCAGGAGGUGGUAGUGGAUGGCUGUGGCCCUAUAGGACGGAGCGCUCCUGCGGGAGGCGGGCGGCGAGCAGGAGGGAAGCGCGAGUACUUGGGAGUUAAUUUCUGAGUGGAGGGUCCCCUGCGCUUCCCCUUCGUACCUGGUCCACUCUAAUUUACAUGGCUAGGUAGAGGGGUCAGCCUUCAUGGAACCAGCCAAACGUGUGUAAGGUCCCCGUCUUCCCUUCCCUUCUUUCAGUUUACUAAGCAAACUUGUACCAGCUCGGGACGAACUGGCUGAACCCAGGAGCCAAGUUUGAGUAGUGGUACGGAUGGAGAAGAUGCCCUUUAUUCUGGUCUCCAACUCCCCCUCCGCACCCUAACCCGGGAAUCUUAGCGGAAGCUGGCCUAGCAGCGAAGGUGUUCUCAUCCUCGCCGGCUGGCAGGAGUGCGAGACGUCUGAAGUGGCUCUCUGAAGUCCGAGGGUCCUUAAGAUCUCAUCAAGAACCCUCGAAAUCGUCUGAAACAAAGCAACCAAUUCCUGGGACAGAGAAGAGCCUCAAUAAAUGUUUGUUGAGUGAAUGCAUGAGUACGGAGGGAGGAACGCACUAACAGAAUUUCGUAUAUACACUAGUAACUAGCCAGGGAUACACAUACAUAAAGCAAAUAUGCGAGGUAAGAUUACUUCGUGAAAGUCCGGCGCUUGGAAUAAAGGCUUGACACAAACAACAGUUAAAAUACUUUUACAGAGGCUAGGUGGCCCACUGACCAGAGCCAGCCAAAAGAAAUUAAGCUUCUUCUAACUGAAGGAACUUCCGCUAAAAUCCUUCAGCAAAGUCCAACCUACUUCCAUUGCUCCUUCUUCUCUUACAGGAGGAAUGUUCUCGCCUUGGUCGGUUCAGGCUCCAGAUCUCUUCAUUUUUCACAGGACUCUUUGCUAACCCUCAGGCCUGGUCGGACUCUGAUUGCUUAGUCUUAGCAGGAAUCACAAGCCUAAAAGUACUUGGCGCUAAGGCCUUUCUUGUUGCUACAGCAGAGUAACUUCGAGACUUGAGAUUUGGUAUCAAUCUGAUCAUAGUUAAAGAAUAUUAUGACAAAUGUCUCUAUGAAUGUUAUUGCUUCAUAGAGCUAGUAGAGUGAGAACUCUGAAGUCCUUACACAUUAUGUUCUCUUUGGGAACUCAAGAGAAGAAAUUCCUAUGCAGUCUUAAAAUCAGCUAUAGCUUACAUUGAUUUAUGUUUUAAUAUAUGGACAUUAUGACUUGUGGCAGUGAUUAUAUUUCCUUAACAGAAAAUGUGGUUUAAAACAAAAUGUGGUCCUCAUUUUGUAAAUACAAAGGACUUCACUGUAAGCAUAGCAUUUAUAAGACUCAUUUCGUUUUCUAUUUUAUAAGAUUUUUAUUUCUAUUCACUCUUGUGAUCCCCGUUUGCCUUUCUAUAAUAUUCCCCUUGUCUUUGUGUUCCUUUGCAAGAGGGAAUUGAACACUUGAGUUCAAAGUGUCAGUGGUUAUUCCAUUUGUUAAAACAAAAGAGCAUAUUACUCUAAUUCACAGUAAAAAU